UUCUUGAAGAUGCUUGAAUUUU
rnacentral:miRNA from 1 species